CAACCGGAGGUUCUUACCUCCACCCAUUCAUCGCAAAGUGAAUUGU
rfam:Fistulifera solaris DNA, contig: scaffold00185, strain: JPCC DA0580.